rfam:Triticum aestivum genome assembly, contig: Triticum_aestivum_CS42_TGACv1_scaffold_514106_6BS
CAUGUACUCCCUCCGUCCGGAAAUACUUGUCACCAAAAUGAAUAAAAGGGGAUGUAUCUAGACGUAUAUUAGUUCUAGAUACAUGUCUUUUUAUUUAUUUUGAUGACAAGUAUUUUUGAACGGAGGGAGUAUUCA